rnacentral:rRNA from 1 species
UGCUCAGGAUGAACGCUGGCGGCGUGCUUAACACAUGCAAGUCGAACGAUGAACCCCGCUUGCGGGGGGAUUAGUGGCGAACGGGUGAGUAACACGUGAGUAACCUGCCCUUAACUCUGGGAUAAGCCUUGGAAACGGGGUCUAAUACUGGAUAUUGACUUUUCCUCGCAUGGGGAUUGGUUGAAAGAUUUAUUGGUUUUGGAUGGACUCGCGGCCUAUCAGCUUGUUGGUGAGGUAAUGGCUCACCAAGGCGACGACGGGUAGCCGGCCUGAGAGGGUGACCGGCCACACUGGGACUGAGACACGGCCCAGACUCCUACGGGAGGCAGCAGUGGGGAAUAUUGCACAAUGGGCGAAAGCCUGAUGCAGCGACGCCGCGUGAGGGAUGACGGCCUUCGGGUUGUAAACCUCUUUCAGUAGGGAACAAGGCCAGUGUUUAGCUGGUUGAGGGUACUUGCAGAAGAAGCGCCGGCUAACUACGUGCCAGCAGCCGCGGUAAUACGUAGGGCGCAAGCGUUAUCCGGAAUUAUUGGGCGUAAAGAGCUCGUAGGCGGUUUGUCGCGUCUGCCGUGAAAGUCCGGGGCUCAACCCCGGAUCUGCGGUGGGUACGGGCAGACUAGAGUGAUGUAGGGGAGACUGGAAUUCCUGGUGUAGCGGUGAAAUGCGCAGAUAUCAGGAGGAACACCGAUGGCGAAGGCAGGUCUCUGGGCA